AACCUUAUGGACCUGCGGGCGUAUACCUGCGGAGGGAUCAUUACCGAGUUAGGGUUGCCUUUUUAGGUGCCCGACCUCCCAACCCUUUGUCUAUGAUACCUAUUGUUGCUUCGGCGCGCCCGAGGGGUCGUACCCUCGCCUGGACUCGUGCCGGGAGCGUGGCCGCCGAUGGCCCAAUUUAAACUAUUGAACCCAAAACCUGUCGUCUGAAAACGUUAUGAUUUACAAUCAAAAACAAAA
rnacentral:misc_RNA from 1 species